UACAAAAAGUGCAAACAUUGCUCGGAAUUAUUGGGCGUAAAGCGCACGUAGGCGGUUCGUUAAGUUGGAUGUGAAAGCCCUGGGCUCAACCCAGGAAGUGCAUACAAAACUGGCGAGCUUGAGUACAGAAGAGGGUCUCGGAAUUCCCGGUGUAGAGGUGAAAUUCGUAGAUAUCGAAAGGAACACCAGUGGCGAAGGCGGAGACCUGGGCUGAUACUGACGCUGAGGUGCGAAAGCGUGGGGAGCAAACAGG
rnacentral:rRNA from 1 species